UUUUUGUUUUUCAUUCGAUAUACAAUAACGAGAUUUUCGCUCUCUACCCUUUCCAGCACUUUCUAGCAACUCUUUUCUUUCGUUCUUUUUUAAAUGCUUUCUCAGCAUAACCUAACGGCUGAGACAUGAAAAUUACCAUCGCAUCGGAGCAAAUUGUUCCGAUAUAGGUUUGUGUUUCCGAUUUCUCGACGUCACAGUUGGCUGACCUUCUUCUUCUGCUCCAAAGCAUCAAUAUGCGCUGACAAGGUCCACCACGUUCAGAAUUUCAGAAAGAGAAAUGAGAGAAUGGACGCCAUAGAUUCAGUGUUUAUGUUUAGGACAGCGUUCGCCUCGCGAAGAGGUGCCAUAAUCUCGAUCGCAAAGUGUUUUUGUAUUGCAUGCUGUGGAUCUCAUGAAGGUGGCGUUCCGUUCAGCGAUAGGGUUCGUGAUUUGUCGGUUUCAUCGUGAAGCUGAUCUUCAUCCCGAUCAACAAUAUCGUUGUCGGAUAUAGCUAGACUUGAAGUUGUAACAAAGAUAAUUGGAGCUUAGGUAAAGUUUAUAUGUUCCUGAAGAGGAUUUGAUGUUUAACAUAUUCCAGAUCUUUUGUUGCUUUCGAGAUCUUAGCCAUGGUAGUAAUCUGGUACCACCAAUUUAUGGAAAUAAUGUUUUUUUCAGUAUUUCAUAGUGUCGUCAGAUCUUGCCUUUUAAUUGAUAUGAAUGCUUUGAAGCAGAUGAAAUCUUCAAUAUAAGAUGUAAUAGGCAGUGACAUGGUCUGAUGGAGUAAAUCUUGCGAGGGAUAUUAACUUCCACUUUCCACAGGUCUAUUCCCCCACCCUGUCUUUUCUCUUUGCAAGUGCUCUUUAGACAACUGAAUAUCUUGUUUUCCUGAUGCGUUGGUGUCUGUCUGUUUGCAUGGAUACCAUCAGCAAGUGAGGAUGCUAUCAACCUUAUUAAACGAAGUAUUAACGUUGUAAACUAUAUAAUUGCCUGACCUCUGCGUUUCCCUCUCCACUUUUAAGCAUUUAUUUGCUUUGUUGCUGAGACCUCACAAUCAGCUACAGAAGCCCUUCUGUAUCCUUUUCUUCUUCUUCUUCUUUUUUUUCCUCUCCAGAUACCUUUUGUUUAUCAUUUACAUAUGAACAUUUGGCCCGGCGGAGAGUUGCGGGGGUGAAACCUAGAGGUUACAUGUUCAAUUUCUGAAAACGACAUCCACAUAUUAUGUGGGAUAAAGUCUGCAUAUAUCUUUUCUUUCGUCAAUAUCCCCAUUGUGAGAGCUUUGUGCACGAUUGUUGUUUACCUUUUGGACAGGCGAACAUGUGGCUUAGGGGUAGAGUUGCAGACCUAGAGGUCAUAGGUUCAAUUCAUAGAAACAAUCUCCCACAUAUUAUGUGAGGGGUAGGCAAGAGCCAUGUGCACGGCUAUUGUUUACAUUUCGCUUUUUGUAUGCUAUGUUUUUGGGUGUGGAUGAAUAACAUCUGUUUAACUUGUUUCUUUAGUUUCCAUUUGGGUAAUGCAUUACUGUAGCCCUUCAAUGAUUGCAGUUCACUAUAAAUCUUUGUUGUAUUGUUGUUGCUUUUAUGUUGUACCAUCACUUUGUUCCAGAACAGCUGCGACUAUAAUACCCGCCUCUGGUUUGUUGUCUUUGUUGCAGCGUCUCUUUGAUCCUUGUUCUUGGAUUUGCUAUUGUAUGAAACACGUAGAAAUAUAAUUUGUGUCACAGGUGGAACAACAGUAGGCCUGGAGCUGCAAUAUGUGAGGAGAUAUCAUGGUGCUUUAUCAAAUUCAAAACUCACUGGCUAUUUUGCUUCUCCCAAGUUACAUGCCCCUAUAAGCAUAGGUGGUUCUGUCUUAGCUUCUGAAAAUUUUGCACUAUUAGUUACAUGGCGGCAAGUAUUGGUGUGUUCGAAACAUGAUUCCAUCCAUGGUUGCAAAUUCCUGUACUGUGUUUUGAAUAAUGCUACAGCAUCUUUGAGGAAAUGGUUGUGUGGGAUUUAAAAAAUGAACACUAUUAGUUACAUGGCUGCAAGUAUUUGUGUGUUUGAAACAUGAUUCAUUCCAGGGUUGCAAAUUCCUGUACUGUGUUUUGGAUACAAUAUCGUUGAGUAAAUGGGUUUGUAGAAUUUCAUUUUUGAAUCAUAGAUCUUUGGAUUAUGUACUGAAAUGGUAUAUGUGCACCAUUGCCCAUUGUUAAUAUAAAUUGCGUGUUAAGCAA